CACUCCUGCGGGAGGCAGCAGUGGGGAAUAUUGGACAAUGGGCGCAAGCCUGAUCCAGCCAUGCCGCGUGAGUGAUGAAGGCCCUAGGGUUGUAAAGCUCUUUCACCGGAGAAGAUAAUGACGGUAUCCGGAGAAGAAGCCCCGGCUAACUUCGUGCCAGCAGCCGCGGUAAUACGAAGGGGGCUAGCGUUGUUCGGAAUUACUGGGCGUAAAGCGCACGUAGGCGGAUCGAUCAGUCAGGGGUGAAAUCCCAGGGCUCAACCCUGGAACUGCCUUUGAUACUGUCGAUCUGGAGUAUGGAAGAGGUGAGUGGAAUUCCGAGUGUAGAGGUGAAAUUCGUAGAUAUUCGGAGGAACACCAGUGGCGAAGGCGGCUCACUGGUCCAUUACUGACGCUGAGGUGCGAAAGCGUGGGGAGCAAACAGGAUUAGAAACCCUGGUAGUCCCAUG
rnacentral:rRNA from 1 species